UUUGUACUCCCUCGUCCAGAAUUACUUAUCGCAGAAAUAAAUGCAUCUAGAUGUAUUUUAGUUCUAAAUAUAUUUAUUUUUAUUUAUUUCCGUGACAAGUAAUUUGGGACGGACGGAGUAUGUA
rnacentral:pre_miRNA from 1 species